rnacentral:rRNA from 1 species
ACCCGGAAAGGCUUCUUAAAUUGAAGUUUGAAAUGGUUUAGAGUCCGUCUGUCGCCUUCCUUAACCAGGCACCUGUUAGCACUUCCGGGGCAGCUGGCGGCCAGUGGCGUUAUCGUGUUAGAAUUUCUAAACAUAUCUAAGAGGGAUAACAUCUGACGC